UGAUUCAAAAUAGUAAAAAUGCUGUGAAUCUUUUGAUCAUCAUUCUGAAUCUGAGCUCUAACAAAAGUCCUUUACAUGUGUAAUCAUUUCAGCUUUUUGCUUAAAAUUUUGUAUUUUUGAAGAAACUUUUCCAUAUUUGAGAAGCGAUAAAAAGAGAAUAAUUUGAUCACCCAUUGAUCAAUACUUGUGCGUGAUCGUCAUGAGAGCACUCGAUAAAACAACAUCCAUCGGGGCUUUUAAUUCAAAGUAUGCAUAUUUGGAGAAAUACUGAUUAAAUUUGAUAUUUUUACUUCAAAUUUCUGCAGGGGAGAUAUUUAAUCCAUUUUUAUUACAAACAUGGCGAUAUGAGCAGCUGGAGUCUACAGCCAUUCACACUUAGUGUGUUUCAUUCAUACGUGAAGCCGGAGGGUGCUAGAGUCAGACAGUCUUAUUAUGACACUCAUAAAAGAAGACGUCAGAGAUCAGGUGUCAGAAGUGUAUAUAACAGUCAGUGGAGAUCGGCCAUGGCAUUUUUUAUGUAGGGUUCAAAAACGGGGAUUCAGGUUAACAGGUUAAAAAGAAUUUUGUUAAACUUGGGAAUUCAUUUUCCCCAAGAUGAUGGCAAGUGGUCCAGUCCCUGAGGCAGCAAAGCAUGCCCAAAUCAUGAUGUUCCCUCCAUCAUACUUCACUGUUGGGAUGAUGUUUUUAUUUUGGUUCAAAGCAAUGGAAGGAGAGUUUUUUGGGAGAGUAGUGGCUUCCUCUGUAGUGUUCUGCCAUAGACGCCGUGCCUCAAAAACUAACAUAUGGUAGACUCAUGAACAGAGAUGUGUGCCAGCUCCAAUGAUGUCUUCAAGCCUUUAGCUGUUACUCGGGGGUUCUUCUUUAACCGUCGACUGAUGGAUGUCUAAACAUUUUGAAAUUGUUUUGUAUCCCUUUUCAGCCUUAUGGAGUGCAACAAAAGUGCUGAUGCUUCCUAAGGACAGCAAUCUUAAAAUGUUUUGAGUGUCUUUUUAUCAAUCAAAUGUGCACUACUUACAUUUUCCUCCAGCACUGUGAAUGUUAAAUGUAUGUUUUCAAAAAUAAACACAUGAAAUUAGAA